rnacentral:rRNA from 1 species
GAUGAACGCUGGCGGCGUGCCUAAUACAUGCAAGUCGAACGCUGGAGAUCUAGCUUGCUAGAUCGAAGGAGUGGCGAACGGGUGAGUAAUACAUAAGCAACCUACCCACGAAGACUGGGAUAAUCUCUGGAAACGGGGACUAAUACCGGAUAGGUAAUCGGAAGGCAUCUUCUGGUUAUUAAAGGUUAAAAACACUGGUGGAUGGGCUUAUGGCGCAUUAGUUAGUUGGUGAGGUAACGGCCCACCAAGACGAUGAUGCGUAGCCGGCCUGAGAGGGUGAACGGCCACAUUGGGACUGAGACACGGCCCAGACUCCUACGGGAGGCAGCAGUAGGGAAUUUUCGGCAAUGGAGGCAACCCUGACCGAGCAACGCCGCGUGAGUGAAGACGGCCUUCGGGUUGUAAAGCUCUGUUGUAAGGGAAGAACGGUAGAUAGAGAAUAUCUAAGUGACGGUACCUUACCAGAAAGCCACGGCUAACUACGUG